ensembl:lncRNA
GUCCCAUGUCGCGUCUCCACAAACCUGCAAGUUAUGAGACAGCUGUCAGUAUUGGAAGAAGCUUUAACGUCUCGUAGAUGAAACUAGCUGGGUUAUUUUGUUUCGUAUAAGUUAUAUUUUAAAACGGCAUUGUAGCCUACCACUCGUGGAAUAUGGAAUUUCAAAGAGAUGAUGGAGUGAUUUGACUCAGAAUUGACAUCAGGCAUUGGCAGCGCGAGAUGUGCAGAACAAGUUAAACUUCUAGCUCAGUAACAUCAACACCUAAGAAAGAAGAUCAGCCCUGACCGUACAGAAGUGGACAGCUGGGCUGUCUGGGACACAUCCAGGAAGCCCCAGAGGCCGGUUUCCCGAAGCCCUCUGGCCCCCUAGGAAGGUUGUGGGUCACCUCCCCCUGUCCUGAUGUCCUGUUGAUCACCACGCUGCACUGAUCACCAAUGCCUGCGGGAUCCACCUGCUGGUCAUCUCCACGUCGUCCUCUUGUGGUGCCUUCCCAUCCAGCCGGCGACGGAGAGCAUCCCUUUCGCCUCCCCAAUCAGGGUGAUUGGUGGACACCUGGCCGGUGGCAGGGGAGCCAUCUUAAAAGGAGGUCCAGGACAGCACAGCACGGCACAGCACGGCACGGGAGCAAGGAGGAAGUGUUCGUGUCCGGGAGAGGCUAGAGGCUAGAGGCCCUCAGAGGCCCUAGAGACCCUAGAGACCGCGUCUCCUUCAUUGUAUUUAAGUUGUACUCAAUAAAUGCCUUUAACGGCGUAUCCGCACGCAAAAAGUGUCGUUCAUCCGUGGAACCUGGCCCAACC